rnacentral:rRNA from 1 species
CGUAGGGUGCGAGCGUUAAUCGGAAUAAUUGGGCGUAAAGGGUGCGCAGGCGGUAAGCUAAGACGGAUGUGAAAGCCCCGGGCUCAACCUGGGAAUGGCAUACGUGACUGGCUCACUAGAAUAUGGCAGAGGGAGGUAGAAUUCCACAUGUAGCAGUGAAAUGCGUAGAUAUGAGGAGGAACACCGAUGGCGAAGGCAGCCUCCUGGGUCAAUAUUGACGCUCAGGCACGAAAGCGUGGGGAGCAAACAGGAUUAGAUACCCUGGUAGUCCACGCCCUAAACGAUGUCAACUAGUUGUUGGGGAAAACUUUCCUUAGUGACGUAGCUUACGCGUGAAGUUGACCGCCUGGGGAGUACGGUCGCAAGAUUA